GACGAACGCUGGCGGCGUGCCUAAUACAUGCAAGUCGAGCGAACAGAUGAAGUGCUUGCACUUCUGACGUUAGCGGCGAACGGGUGAGUAACACGUAAGGAAUCUACCUAUAAGCGGGGGAUAACAUUCGGAAACGGGUGCUAAUACCGCAUAAUAUCUUCUUCCGCAUGGAAGAAGAUUGAAAGACGGCUCUGCUGUCACUUAUAGAUGACCUUGCGGUGCAUUAGUUAGUUGGUGGGGUAAUGGCCUACCAAGACGAUGAUGCAUAGCCGACCUGAGAGGGUGAUCGGCCACAUUGGGACUGAGACACGCCCCAAACUCCUACGGGAGGCAGCAGUAGGGAAUCUUCCGCAAUGGGCGAAAGCCUGACGGAGCAAUGCCGCGUGAGUGAAGAGGGCCUUCGGGUCGUAAAACUCUGUUAUAAGAGAAUAACAAAUUGUAGAGUAACUGCUACAGUCUUGACGGUAUCUUAUCAGAAAGCCACGGCUAACUACGUGCCAGCCGCCGCAGUAA
rnacentral:rRNA from 1 species